rnacentral:rRNA from 1 species
AGGACGAACGCUGGCGGCGUGCUUAACACAUGCAAGUCGAGCGACGCUCCUCCUUCGGGAGGAUGACGGAGCGGCGAACGGGUGAGUAACACGUGGGCAACCUGCCCCUAGCUCUGGGAUAACCCCGGGAAAUCGGGACUAAUACCGGAUAUGACCUCGGAAGGCAUCUUCUGAGGUGGAAAAGGUUUACUGGCUAGGGAUGGGCCCGCGGCCUAUCAGCUUGUUGGUGGGGUAACGGCCCACCAAGGCGACGACGGGUA